UUUCCGUAGGUGAACCUGCGGAAGGAUCAUUAUCCUGCAAGAGGUUGCUUUCCUUCGGGAGAGUCAGCCUUUGCUACCCUUAUCCUGUGUUUUUGUAUACCUUGUUGUUUCCUUGGUGGGCUUGCCUGCCUUAAGGACUACUUUAAAAACCCUUUGCAGUUGCAUUCAACGUCUGAAAAAAUCAAUAGUUACAACUUUCAACAAUGGAUCUCUUGGUUCUG
rnacentral:misc_RNA from 1 species